rnacentral:rRNA from 1 species
UACGGAGGGUGCAAACGUUGCUCGGAAUUAUUGGGCGUAAAGCGCACGUAGGCGGACUCGCAAGUCGGGUGUGAAAGCCCUCGGCUCAACCGAGGAAGUGCAAACGAAACUACGAGACUUGAAUCCUGGAGAGGGUCGCGGAAUUCCCGGUGUAGAGGUGAAAUUCGUAGAUAUCGGGAGGAACACCAGCGGCGAAGGCGGCGACCUGGACAGAGAUUGACGCUGAGGUGCGAAAGCGUGGGGAGCAAACAGG